rnacentral:rRNA from 1 species
AACCUGCUCCAUGUAAACUAUAAAUAGCCGCAGAAUUCUGUGCUAAGGUAGCAUAAUCAUUAGCUUUAUAAUUAAAAGAUAGUAUGAAUGGUUAAACGAAAUAGUAACUGUUUCUAUAAAUUAUAAUUAACUUAUACUAAAAGUUAAAAUUCUUUUAAUAAAAGAAAGACGAUAAGACCCUAUAAACUUAAUUCAUUUAGCUGGGGCGGCGAAAAAAAUACCUUAAUAACCACGUACUACAAUCACACAAAUAAAAUUUAGUAAAUAGUUACUUUAGGGAUAACAGCGCUACUUUUUUUAAAAGACCUUAUUUAAAAAAAUCCUACGACCUCGAUGUUGAAUUAUAAUCCUAUAAUAGAGCAGAAACUAUAAAAGGUAGUCUGUUCGACUAUUAAACAUAU